rnacentral:rRNA from 1 species
UACGAAGGGGGCUAGCGUUGCUCGGAAUCACUGGGCGUAAAGGGUGCGUAGGCGGGUCUUUAAGUCAGGGGUGAAAUCCUGGAGCUCAACUCCAGAACUGCCUUUGAUACUGAGGAUCUUGAGUUCGGGAGAGGUGAGUGGAACUGCGAGUGUAGAGGUGAAAUUCGUAGAUAUUAGCUAGAACACCAGUGGCGAAGGCGGCCAACUGGUCCGGUACUGACGCUGAGGUGCGAAAGCGUGGGGAGCAAACAGG